GCCAGACAGCUUCUCUUCACAACUGCAAAAAUUAACUCAAAAUGAAUGUGAUUCUUCUACUUGGUUUCUCUAAUCUGCUGUUCUUCACAACUGCCCAAGACUUCCUCUGCAAUCAAUGUUUAACUAUAUAUCCUGGGAACUGUCUCGAUGAGAAACCAUGCCCAGCAGUGCGUGGGAAAUGUUUCACAGAAACUGUCUAUCAAGGUCCCAAAGGUAAAGAAUUUCUUUGGAAUAUGUACGGAUGUGUUGCUCACUGGAUGGAACACACCUGUGACACAGUGCGCUGGAUGGCUGGAUUAAUCUAUGUUACCACUUGUUGCAACUCUGAGAAAUGCAAUGGACAUCGUUCUCCUUUCCCUCCAGCUAACUGUACCAGGGGUGUGUGAGAUGGCAGAAGAUGCCCAAACAUUUUCUCUCCAUCUACUCUUAGCUCAUCCAGUCCACUGUCCAGCCAGAGAAUCUGGACUUCCUUUACCCUCUUUGAGCAGGCUCAUAACUUAAGAGUCUGUACAUGAUCUUCUCAUGUGUUCAUCUGGUUUGUACCUGGCAUGUCUUAAUCUCUUGAUAAGGUGAAAGGGGAAAGAAUAAACUUGCACCGUGGUAUAUGUUGUGUCCAGUUAUUUAUUUACUUCUAUAUACAAUUACAUGUUGGGGAAACUGUGAGAAAUCAAGCCUGAGAAAUGUGUGGGGAAUAAAGGGCUAAGCUACAAGUGACGAAUGCUACUUGAAUGGUAAGUAUUGUAAACAGACUCACAUGUAUUCCUCCCACAUGGUGAUCAAGUGGCGCACAAGUGAACAGGGAGGAAUACAUGUGAGUCUGUUCACUUGCCGUUCAAGUGUCAUUUGUCACUUGUAGCUUCGCCCAAAGGAUGUUUAACUACUUCAAGUAAACUGAAACUUGGAUUGGGAUGUGCAAUUUAUUCCAUAGUUGUUCCUCCCUACCCCUAUUUUUACUUCUGUACUUAUUGUUGUUUUUAUUGAUGUUGUUAUCUGCCCUGAGUCUGUUUGCAAAUAAAGAAAUGAAUGAAUUAAAAAACCAAAAAAACAAACAAGCGAAUGAAUGAAUGAAGAAAUACAUAAUAUUCCUUUGGCUUCUCUGUGAUAUCACCCUCCCAUCACCAGUUUCAAAAUAUUUUUUUUUCUCACAGGUAAAGAAUUUCUUUGGAAUAUUUACGGAUGUGUUGCUAAGUUGAAUGAACGCUACUGUAACACAGUGCGCUGAAUGGCUGGAUGCAGAGGAGUUA